rnacentral:rRNA from 1 species
ACAACUUUCAGCAACGGAUCUCUUGGCUCUCGCAUCGAUGAAGAACGCAGCGAAAUGCGAUAAGUAAUGUGAAUUGCAGAAUUCAGUGAAUCAUCGAAUCUUUGAACGCACCUUGCGCUCCUUGGUAUUCCGAGGAGCACGCCUGUUUGAGUGUCGUGUAAUUCUCAAACUUA